rnacentral:rRNA from 1 species
GAUGAACGCUGGCGGCGUGCCUAAUACAAGCAAGUCGAGCGAACAGACGAGGAGCUUGCUCCUCUGACGUUAGCGGCGGACGGGUGAGUAACACGUGGAUAACCUACCUAUAAGACUGGGAUAACUUCGGGAAACCGGAGCUAAUACCAGAUAAUAUAUUGAACCGCAUGGUUCAAUAGUGAAAGACGGUUUUGCUGUCACUUAUAGAUGGAUCCGCGCCGCAUUAGCUAGUUGGUAAGGUAACGGCUUACCAAGGCAACGAUGCGUAGCCGACCUGAGAGGGUGAUCGGCCACACUGGAACUGAGACACGGUCCAGACUCCUACGGGAGGCAGCAGUAGGGAAUCUUCCGCAAUGGGCGAAAGCCUGACGGAGCAACGCCGCGUGAGUGAUGAAGGUCUUCGGAUCGUAAAACUCUGUUAUUAGGGAAGAACAAAUGUGUAAGUAACUAUGCACGUCUUGACGGUACCUAAUCAGAAAGCCACGGCUAACUACGUG